CUACGGGACGCACCAGUGGGGAAUAUUGGACAAUGGGGGAAACCCUGAUCCAGCAGUGCCGCGUGUGUGAAGAAGGCCUGCGGGUUGUAAAGCACUUUCGGUUGGGAGGACUGCUUCUAGCACUAAUAUUGUUGGAAGUUGACGUUACCUUCAGAAGAAGCACCGGCUAACUCCGUGCCAGCAGCCGGGGUAAUACGGAGGGUGCAAGCGUUAAUCGGAAUUACUGGGCGUAGAGCGCGCGUAGGCGGCUAGAUCAGUCGGGUGUGAAAGCCCCGGGCUUAACCUGGGAACUGCAUCCGAUACUGUCUAGCUUGAGUACAGGAGAGGAGAGUGGAAUUCCAGAUGUAGCGGUGAAAUGCGUAGAUAUGUGGAGGAACACCAAUGGCGAAGGCAGCUCUCUGGCCUGAUACUGACGCUGAGGUGCGAAAGCGUGGGGAGCAAACAGGAUUAGAUACCCCAGUAGUC
rnacentral:rRNA from 1 species